rnacentral:sRNA from 1 species
UUUGUUUUUUUCAAAACUGAACCAUUAAGGAUAAACCAAAAUCACAAAACCAUUAAGGGUAAACCAUUAAGUUUCAAAACAAAACCAGAAAAACUAAACCGAAAUCAAGUGCUGUGUGAUUUGGUUGCUCCCAUUAAGGGUAUUUUAGUCUGAAAACAACUGAAAAGACAAACGGUAAAAACCAUAUCUCACUUUGACAAACCAUGAGAGCAAUUCUUUUUUCAUCCAGUGAAAAUUUCUUUUUAUUAAAUCUAUAAAAUACGGAAAUCAAAUCUAUACUCGUAUUUCCUUUUCUUACCGAU